UCGCUUCAGCAGCACAUAAACUAAAAUUGGAACGAUAUGGAGAUUAGCAUGGCCCCUGCACGAGGAUGACACCCAAAUUUGUGAAGCAUUCCACAUUUUC
ensembl:snRNA U6 U6 spliceosomal RNA